UCUCUUGCUCUGAGUCUCUCGUGCCUCUCUCAGUCUCUCUCCACUCCAAACUCUUUUUCUAUUACUCUGCCAAAUUCAUCGUGGGUCUGCCGAUUUCCAGGUCGAUUUGCAUCGCCGUCGACUUCUUCCUCUCCUUUCCAGGAUUCUUUUUCCUCUGUCGGUUCUAACUCGGAUGCUCCUCUCUCGGUCUUAGACUGUCACCGUUGCCUAGAUCGAAUAUCUCGGUACUGGUGUAGGUAUUUGAUAAAUUUCUGAAAGUCAAUGGCGUCUCUUAAAGACCUUCUACCUCCGGCUAAAUCGACUACUUCCACUUUUUAUGAUCAUUCAAAUGACCCAUGGUUCAAGAAUCGUUUCACCGAAUCCGAAUCUGAGAAAUCUGCUGUUGUCACAGCAAAGCCCGUUCCCCCUUAUUUGAAGCGACAGGGUUUUCUUCCGAGAAAACCCGAGGACUUUGGAGAUGGUGGUGCAUUCCCUGAGAUUCAUGUUGCUCAAUACCCUCUUGGCAUGGGUAGGGAUAGAUCCAAUAAAGCUGGUUCCAAGACUUUACCUGUCACUGUGGAUGCCCAAGGCAAUGUUGUCUAUGAUGCUAUUGUCAAGCAGAAUGAGAAUUCGAAAAAGAUUGUUUACUCUCAACAUAAGGAUAUUAUUCCCAAGAUCUUGAAAAAUGAGGGAGAUGUGGAUGAAGAUGAGGAUGAAGAAUUGCAGAAGGAGAUAGAGGAAACCAUGGAGGAAACAAAAGCUGCACUCGAGAAGAUUGUGAACGUGAGGUUGAGUGCAGCACAGCCUAACAAUGUACCGAAGCAGUCUGGUGACUCAAAGUACAUCAAGUAUAAACCGUCUCAGCAAUCUGCUGCCUUUAAUUCCGGUGCUAAGGAGAGGAUCAUUAGAAUGGUGGAGAUGCCCGUGGAUCCGAUGGAACCUCCUAAGUUCAAGCACAAGCGAGUUCCAAAGGCUUCUGGGUCCCCUCCAGUCCCGGUCAUGCAUUCUCCACCUCGGCCUGUCACUGUUAAGGACCAACAAGACUGGAAAAUCCCCCCUUGCAUCUCCAACUGGAAAAAUCCGAAAGGUUAUACCAUCCCCCUGGACAAACGUCUUGCCGCUGAUGGAAGAGGCUUACAAGAUGUGCAGAUCAAUGAUAACUUUGCAAAGCUAUCAGAGGCACUGUAUGUAGCAGAGCAGAAAGCUAGGGAAGCUGUUACGAUGAGAUCAAAGGUUCAAAAGGAGAUGAUGAUGAAGGAGAAGGAAAGGAAAGAGCAGGAGUUGCGGGUUCUUGCCCAAAAGGCUCGUUCUGAGAGGACCGGGGCUGCUGCUCCACCCGCUGCUUCCAUGCCAGUGUCAUCUGAAAGGGGGAGGAGUGAGAGUGUCGACCCACGAGAGGAUUAUGACUAUGAUUACGAUGAACGGAAACGUGACAGUGGCCGUGGCGACUUCCCCAAGGAGAAUAGAGAGGAAAGGGAAGAGCGUCUACAGAGGGAGAAGAUCCGUGAAGAACGCCGGAGGGAGAGAGAGAGGGAGAGAAGGUUGGAAGCAAAGGAUGCAGCUAUGGGUAAGAAGAGCAAGAUCACAAGGGACAGAGACCGUGAUAUCAGCGAGAAAGUCGCUCUCGGAAUGGCCUCCACCGGAACAAGGGGCGGUGAAGUUAUGUAUGACCAACGCCUGUUUAACCAAGACAAAGGAAUGGACUCUGGUUUCGCCACUGAUGACCAGUACAACGUAUACGACAAGGGCUUGUUCACAGCACAGCCAACUCUUUCGACCCUUUACAAGCCAAAGAAAGAUAUGGACGAAGAGAUGUACGGGAACGCCGACGAACAGCUAGAGAAGCUCAUGAAGACGGACAGGUUCAAACCGGACAAAGGAUUCACCGGAACAUCAGAGAAAUUGGGCAAGAGAGAGAGACCGGUGGAGUUUGAGAAGGAAGCAGAGGAAGCAGAUCCGUUUGGUCUGGACCAGUUCUUGACAGAAGUGAAGAAAGGAAAGAGAGCGAUGGAGAAAGUCGGGUCUGGAGGAACGAUGAGGGCUAGUGGGGGGUCCUCGAGGGAUGACUAUGGUGGUGGGUCGGGUCGGAGCAGGAUCGGGUUCGAGCGUGGCAGCGGCCGUUAAAUCUUUGCAUAGAUAUUGCAAAUGCUAUCUGGAAGUCUCGUCUCUCUGCCUCCUUCCUGGGUCUGCGCCCAUCGUCUGGAUCCCGCGUCUUCACUCUCUCUCGACAGACAGUUUGUGUUCCGUCGAAGAAGAAGCGACCGCCUCUGGAUCCUCUCUCUCGCUUGUGUUCCUGCGUCUUCAGCCGCCGUGGUGUUUUUCUGCGAUUCCCGAAUCCUCUCUCUUUCGCCCGUGUUCUCUGUGUGUUUCCUGUUGCUUACUCUCCGCCCAUCUCAACUUCGAACCUUUCCUCGCGAUUUCUUAGCCUUUCUCCGUCGCUUCGUCGGCCUUUGUAGAUUCCCGCCGCCUUCAAGCUCAGAGUCUUGUCCGAUUGUUGCGAAAACGCAUU